rnacentral:lncRNA from 1 species
GCGCCAUCUUAGUCGUCUUUGUCCUCUCCCCCCGUCCAGACAAUACUGAAGAAGAAGGAGUAUACGUAUUAUAGUUGAUAAAGAGGUAAGAAUUGAAGCUAUGUUUUUUUGUUUUUCUCUUUUUGGUUGAUGAAUGCCACAGUAAAAGGGAUAGCCAAUUGAACUAGAGCGUAAGUACUGCUCUAAUUAUUUGGCAGUGUCCAGUAAAGGUUCUCCAUAAUCCCACAAUACAUCCGCUCAGAGAUGAAUAAGGGCAGACUGAUGCGUCAGCUCUUGGAAGUACCUGACUUCACUGCAUCCUGUUAAGUCUCCAAGGAAUGCCACAUUUUUCCCCUUGUCUUUGGAGACAUGAGGUAAAAUUGGUUUUCGAAGAUGGAGACUGGGUGGCCCUCAGGGGCUGACCCACAGGGUGUUGAACUUCAGGAAAUAGCAGAGAAAGAACUUGGCACAAUUCAUUAUUCCAGGCAGUGGAAUCUUGAAAAAGAGCUACCAUGCACUCCACAUCUGCUUGAUUUGCCGACCAUCCCAGUGGAAAGGAAACAACCUGGGCCUCUGGCCUACCUUGUGCACAAGUGUAACAGUCGCUUUUGUUUAAAGUGUGAGCAGAAUACUUAAUCCACUUUAACCAGGCGUUUAUAUCUUUAUAUCCUGUUUCAAUGGCUAUGGUUUGCCUUAGGUCUCCUAUUUUUACUACUGAGACCUUGCUUCUGUCAUUUGGCAUGAGGCGAGGCAUAGUUUGAUUGCAUAGGUUUGGGAAAGGGGCAGUUGUAGGAGGUGGAGGAGGGAGAACAAAGUACAUCUUAAAGAAGCCUAUAGGAUCCUUUCCAGCGACCUCUGCUCCUAAACCAUAGAAAUGCUUUAAAGUGGGGUUAGAGUUGCUCCUGGUAGGAAUAGUAAUAGAUAUAGGCACUGGGUUAGGAAAGGAAAGGAAAAGAUAGACUAAGCUUUUCUUAGCUUUAAUUUGGUAGGGCUUGAUCCAGGAACAAUGGCCCAUAAUUCUGAUGAUAAUGGUGCUUGCUUGACUCGGGUGUGAUGUGUCCAUCCCUUUCCACUGUAGGAACAGCAGUCUCCGUGGUUAGCAGCACAAGGUAGGGUCCUUCCCAGGCUGUCUUGAGUUUCCCUCCUUUCCACCCUUUGAUGUGAAUGUGAUCCCCAGGCUGGUGCCUAUGUACUGGAGACUCCACGGGUGGAGGCUGUGCUAAAAGACCUUUUGUUUUAAGGGAAGAGAAGGUGGAGGACAAACCAAGUAUAUAAUUUCUAAGAAACUGAUCUUUUGUUUUAAAUGUGGGGACAUCAGCAGUGGACUUUAUAGUCCUUAGUGCCUUCUUGCUGAGACAUUUCGUUUGGCACCUAUUUUUAUUAGUUUUUAGACCAAAGAAAGCCAGACACCAUUUUAUAUUUGACAGUGCUUCCUGUAUGAUUUUAUACCAGAUAAGCUAAAUUUUACCUUUAUAUUAGUGUGCUGUUAAUGUUAAACUCAAUUUUAAUAAAACCUUGUAGACAUAUUUAUCCAUUUUUAAUGUCUGACCAUAAGGUAAGAAUUUUAUAGACUCUUUUUAACCUUUUAUAAUUUUUGUUAAAGAGCAGGUUAGUGCUUUAAGAAAAACCCGUUGUGCUUUUACUUUAAUGUCCAGCUCACAGAAAAACUGGAUGAUACCCCUUUAACUUUAGCCAAUGUUUACACACAGAAUUUCCUUUACAACUAACAUUUCAAAACUUGCUUAAACCUUCAAAACAAAAACUGUUUUUUCUCUCUCAAAGAUAACCAUUCUUUUCUAAAGUGAAAUUCCUUCAUGUUUGUGGACUAGACUGCCUAAGGCCACAGGAUUGUAAAUUAGGAUUAUAUAUGUUACACCGUUAACUUUUAACAAACCUUCCUUUUGUUGAAAACCUUGUAAGUUUGGGGUUUCAAUUGUUCCUUGCUAUUAAUAAGACUUCGUUUAGUCCAUAUUUAACUUAGAAUUGGUAAAGAUAGCUCCUUCCUGAUUCUGUAAGUAUUUUAAGGCUUGUCUGAGCGCAAACAACUCACCAUUGGGCAAUUUUCCUAACUCUACUUCUACAAGAGUUUCCCCAUUACUUACUGAAUAUCCACUGUUGAUUUUCCCCCAAUCUUCCAGAGGAACCAUCUAUUGUCCUGACCUAAAGGGAGUUCCUUCUAGGUCUGGUUGGACCUUUGUGUGGUAAUUAAUUAAGAUGUAGAUCCUCAGUUAGAAAACCUGCUGGGUUAAGGGAAUUAUUCGUGGUUUACGUUAAAUCAUCUUUUUCUAACAGAAUAGCUUCAUAUUUUAAAAUUUUUGAGUUAGUAAGGUUUCUUUUUCUUUUUCUUUUUUUUUUUGACUUAGGAUAGUUCUGACCUGGUGAGGUGUGCUCACUGAGGUUACCUCUAAAAGUUAUUUUUCUACUUUAUUCUGUUAGCAAAGCAGUUGCCACUACAGAUUGAAUGCAUUUGGGCCAUCCACCAGUUACUGGGUUAAGGAUUUUUGAUUAAGAAGGCUACGGGUUGUCAGUGGCCUCCAAGGUUUCGGGCUACGCCCUUGUUUACACUGACAACAAAGUGGCUGCUUAAGGAGGGUAAAGCUGGGACAGCAGCUGCUUUUUGUUUUUGGUCCUUUCGUUAUCCUUCUAAUAUUUUAACAUAACGCCCUAAAGUACUAUCAGAAGGAAUCUGAUCACCUUCACCUCUCCCUGAGUCCCUGAGUUAGCUUUUCUCCCUGUCCUUGUUUUACUAGAAACAUUUCCCAUGUUGGGUAGUUGGUCAGGUUCAAUCUCCUGAAAUUAGUGGAAGGCUCAACCCCUCAAACCAGGGGGUGCUUUGCCUUGCCUGUCCUGAAAGGUCGGAAGGUUGACCUGUCUCUUUUUUUAUGUGUGUGUGUAUAUGUGUAUAUGUGUGUGUGUGUGUGUAUAUUUAUCUUUAGGUAUCUCUCUUUAUAUCUACCUGUUUAUCCAUUCAUCCCUCCCUCCAUCCAUCCAUAUAUAAACUCUUUUGUUGCAUUGAUCUGUAUGUUUAUCCACAGGCACAUUUCACAGUCUUGAUUACUGUUUUUGCUUUCCUGGGUCUUUCCCAUUUCUAUAUAAUUUUAGAGUUAGCUUGUCAAUUUCUACCAAAACAACUCAAAAAACAAACAAACAAAAAAUUUUAAAAAGCCCUGCUGGGAUGUUGAUUGGGAUCAUGUUGAAUAUAUAUAGAUCGAUUUCACAAUUGGGGAAAAUCAAUCUGGGGAGACUUAUAUCUUAAUAAUAUUGAGUCUUUCCAUCUACAAAUUACUAUAUUUUUCUUUUCAUGUAGGUGUUCUUUAGUUUCCCACAUCAGUAUUUUAUAGUUUUUUGUGUAAAGGUUUUGCAUAUUUUUAAUUAAAUUCAUCUCUAAGUAUUUAAGAUUUUCUGAUGCUCUUUUAAAUGGUACUUCAAAAUUUUUUCUUCUUCCAAUUGUUGUUGGUCUAUGGAGAUAAAAUUAAUUUUAUGCAUUCAUCAUAUAACCUCUCAGCAAACCAUGAAUACAAGGGACCUUUCUUAGCCCAAUAAGAGGCAUCUAUGAAAAACCUACAGCGGUCAUCAUACUUAAUGGUGAGAGACUAAAUGUUCUCCUACAAAGAUUAAGAACAACAUAAGGAUAUUUUAUCUCAGCAUUCAUAUUCAACUUUUUACUGGAAGUUCUAGCCAGUGUAGUAAGGCAAGACAAAAAAGACACAGAUUAGAAAGGAAGAAAUUUUAAAAGUCUCUAUUUGGAUAUGACAUAAUUAUUUAUCUAGAAAAUUCCUAAGAAUCUAGAAAAAAUGCUUCCAUAACUAGAAACUAUACACUAUAUAAACCUUAUAGCUAUAAUUAGUUGGGCAAGGUUGCAGGAUGCAAUGUUGAUAUGUGAGAGUGAAGCAUAUUUUCUAUAUACCAACAAUGAACAAUUGGAACUUGAAAUUUUAAAAAUAUUUACAAAAGCAUCAAAAGAAAUAAAAGACAUAGGUAUAAGGAAGAGAGCCCUCACUAGCAACCAAAUUUUGCUAGCACCUUGAUUUUGGACUUCCCAGAGUUCAGAACUAUAAGAAAUAAAUUUCUGCUGUAUUAAGCCAAAAGUAAAAAAAAGUGUAGGUAUAAAUCUAAUAAAUUAUGUGCAGGAUCAGUAUGCUUAACUACAAAACACUAAAGAGAGAAAUUAAAGGAGAAAUAUAUCAUGUUCAUAGUUUGGAAGACUCAAUACUGUUAAGAUGUCAAUUCCAUCCAAUUUGAUGUGGAGAUUCAACAUAAUCAAAAUCCCAGUAAGCUUUUGAAUCAAUAAUAAUCAAUAAGGUGAUUCUAAAAUGUAUAUGGAAAGGCACAGGAACUGUUUGGAAAGGUCAAACAAUAUAGUUAAUUGAUUUUUGACAAAGAUGUUAAGAUAAUUCAAUGGAGAAUUAUUAAUAGUAAUUUCAACAAAGGAUUAAAGAAAGAGAACCUUAAUGUACACCUCAGAACUUUUUCAAUAUUAGCUCAUGGAUUAUGACCUAAAUAUUAAACAUGAAACUAAAAAAAGUGCAAAAGAAAAUGUAGGGGAAAAUCUACAUAACCUAGGGUUUAGCAAAGAGUUUUUAGCUAUGACUUCAAAAGAUAAAUUUAAUUUGAUCAGUUUGGGCACAGUGGCUCAUGCCUGUAAUCCCAGCACUUUGGGAGGUCGAGAUGGAUGGAUCGCUUGAAGUCAGGAGUUCGAGACCAGCCUGGCCAAUGUGGCAAAACCCCAUCUCAAGUAAAAACUAAUACAAAAAAGUACCUGGUCGUGUUGGCGGGUGCAUAUUAAUCCCAGCUACCCGGGAGGCUGAGGCAGGAGAAUCGCUUGAACCUGGGGGCUGGGGCAGUGGUUGUAGUGAGCCGAGAUCGCACCACUGCACUUCAAGCUGGGUGAAAGAACAAAACUCUAUAUCAAAAUAAA